GCCGAAAUAGCUCAGUUGGGACAGCAUUAGACUAUAAAUCGAAAAAUCCCUGAUUCGAUCCCGGGUUUCGUCA
rnacentral:tRNA from 1 species